rnacentral:rRNA from 1 species
UACGUAGGGGGCAAGCGUUGUCCGGAUUUAUUGGGCGUAAAGAGCGUGUAGGCGGCCAGACAGGUCCGUUGUGAAAACUGGAGGCUUAACCUCCAGACGUCGACAGAAACCGCUUGGCUAGAGUCCGGAAGAGGAGAGUGGAAUUCCUGGUGUAGCGGUGAAAUGCGCAGAUAUCAGGAAGAACACCAAUGGCGAAGGCAGCUCUCUGGGACGGUACUGACGCUGAGACGCGAAAGCGUGGGGAGCGAACAGG